rnacentral:rRNA from 1 species
UACGUAGGGUGCAAGCGUUAAUCGGAAUUACUGGGCGUAAAGCGUGCGCAGGCGGUUUUGUAAGCCGGAUGUGAAAUCCCCGGGCUUAACCUGGGAAUGGCAUUCGGGACUGCAAGGCUGGAGUGCGGCAGAGGAGACUGGAAUUCCUGGUGUAGCAGUGAAAUGCGUAGAUAUCAGGAGGAACACCGAUGGCGAAGGCAGGUCUCUGGGCUGACACUGACGCUCAUGCACGAAAGCGUGGGGAGCAAACGGG